rnacentral:rRNA from 1 species
ACGCUGGCGGCAGGCCUAACACAUGCAAGUCGAGCGGUAGAGAGAAGCUUGCUUCUCUUGAGAGCGGCGGACGGGUGAGUAAUGCCUAGGAAUCUGCCUGGUAGUGGGGGAUAACGUUCGGAAACGGACGCUAAUACCGCAUACGUCCUACGGGAGAAAGCAGGGGACCUUCGGGCCUUGCGCUAUCAGAUGAGCCUAGGUCGGAUUAGCUAGUUGGCGGGGUAAUGGCUCACCAAGGCGACGAUCCGUAACUGGUCUGAGAGGAUGAUCAGUCACACUGGAACUGAGACACGGUCCAGACUCCUACGGGAGGCAGCAGUGGGGAAUAUUGGACAAUGGGCGAAAGCCUGAUCCGGCCAUGCCGCGUGUGUGAAGAAGGUCUUCGGAUUGUAAAGCACUUUAAGUUGGGAGGAAGGGCAGUUGCCUAAUACGUAACUGUUUUGACGUUACCGACAGAAUAAGCACCGGCUAACUCUGUGCCAGCAGCCGCGGUAAUACAGAGGGUGCAAGCGUUAAUCGGAAUUACUGGGCGUAAAGCGCGCGUAGGUGGUUUGUUAAGUUGGAUGUGAAAUCCCCGGGCUCAACCUGGGAACUGCAUUCAAAACUGACUGACUAGAGUAUGGUAGAGGGUGGUGGAAUUUCCUGUGUAGCGGUGAAAUGCGCAGAUAUAGGAAGGAACACCAGUGGCGAAGGCGACCACCUGGACUGAUACUGACACUGAGGUGCGAAAGCGUGGGGAGCAAACAGGAUUA